rnacentral:rRNA from 1 species
AGACAAUAGAUACCCGGGUAGUCCACGCCGUAAACUAUGGAUGCUAGCUGUUAUCAGUAUCGACCCUGGUAGUAGCGAAAGCUAACGCGUUAAGCAUCCCGCCUGUGGAGUACGAGCGCAAGCUUAAAACAUAAAGGAAUUGACGGGGACCCGGCACAAGCGGUGGAGCGUGUUGUUUAAUUCGACGGUAAGCGAAGAACCUUACCAGGGUUUGACAUCCCGCCCAAGGUCUCCGAAAGGAGACUGUGCCUUCGGGCCGCGGUGACAGGUGCUGCAUGGCCGUCGUCAGCUCGUGUCGUGAGAUGUUUGG